rnacentral:rRNA from 1 species
CUCCUUUGACGUUAGCGGCGGACGGGUGAGUAACACGUGGGUAACCUACCUAUAAGACUGGGAUAACUUCGGGAAACCGGAGCUAAUACCGGAUAAUAUUUCGAACCGCAUGGUUCGAUAGUGAAAGGCGGUUUUGCUAUCACUUAUAGAUGGACCCGCGCCGUAUUAGCUAGUUGGUAAGGUAACGGCUUACCAAGGCGACGAUACGUAGCCGACCUGAGAGGGUGAUCGGCCACACUGGAACUGAGACACGGUCCAGACUCCUACGGGAGGCAGCAGCC